GACGGGGCCCGCACAAGCGGUGGAGUAUGUGGUUUAAUUCGAUGCAACGCGAAGAACCUUACCUGGUCUUGACAUCCCGGAGACCCUUAGGAAACUAGGGGGUGCUUCCAUCUGGAAGAAUCUGGAGACAGGUGCUGCAUGGCUGUCGUCAGCUCGUGUCGUGAGAUGUUGGGUUAAGUCCCGCAACGAGCGCAACCCUUGCCUUUAGUUGCCAGCAGUUCGGCUGGGCACUCUAAAGGGACUGCCGGUGUUAAACCGGAGGAAGGUGGGGAUGACGUCAAGUCCUCAUGGCCUUUAUGACCAGGGCUACACACGUACUACAAUGGCCGAUACAAAGGGCAGCGACACUGCGAGGUGAAGCCAAUCCCGUAAAAUCGGUCUCAGUCCGGAUUGGAGUCUGCAACUCGACUCCAUGAAGUCGGAAUCGCUAGUAAUCGUGGAUCAGCAUGCCACGGUGAAUACGUUCCCGGGCCUU
rnacentral:rRNA from 1 species